rnacentral:rRNA from 2 species
ACGGGAGGCAGCAGUGGGGGAUAUUGCACAAUGGGGGAAACCCUGAUGCAGCGACGCCGCGUGAGUGAAGAAGUAUUUCGGUAUGUAAAGCUCUAUCAGCAGGGAAGAUAAUGACAGUACCUGACUAAGAAGCCCCGGCUAACUACGUGCCAGCAGCCGCGGUAAUACGUAGGGGGCAAGCGUUAUCCGGAUUUACUGGGUGUAAAGGGAGCGUAGGCGGCGACGUAAGUCAGAAGUGAAAGCCCGGGGCUCAACCGCGGGACUGCUUUUGAAACUGCAUUGCUAGAGUGUCGGAGAGGUAAGUGGAAUUCCUAGUGUAGCGGUGAAAUGCGUAGAUAUUAGGAGGAACACCAGUGGCGAAGGCGGCUUACUGGACGAUAACUGACGCUGAGGCUCGAAAGCGUGGGGAGCAAACAGGAUUAGAUACCCUGGUA